rnacentral:lncRNA from 1 species
AGACUAAGUCUGUAGGUCUGUAGCCACAGCAGUAUAAUUGAUGAAAAAUUUUUUUAUAAGAAUCAUAAUUAGACUUGAGCUAAUUGAAUCUAUCAUAUGAUUGAUGAUGAGGUUUAAUGAUUUAUCUAUGACCUGUCAUCUAGUUGAAACUCACGAUAGAGAGACGAAAUCAUAUGAAAACUAUACCUUAAGAUUUUUUUUCGGUUCUGUUGGGUUACCACUACAUAUUACUAGAUAUCACUGAUG